UACGAAGGGGGCUAGCGUUGUUCGGAUUUACUGGGCGUAAAGCGCACGUAGGCGGAUCGAUCAGUCAGGGGUGAAAUCCCAGAGCUCAACUCUGGAACUGCCUUUGAUACUGUCGAUCUAGAGUAUGGAAGAGGUGAGUGGAAUUCCGAGUGUAGAGGUGAAAUUCGUAGAUAUUCGGAGGAACACCAGUGGCGAAGGCGGCUCACUGGUCCAUUACUGACGCUGAGGUGCGAAAGCGUGGGGAGCAAACAGG
rnacentral:rRNA from 1 species